GCUGUUCACUCGAAUACAGUAAGUUGGGCAAUCCUGACAUAGAAUCCGGCGUCAGACGUUGUCUAGCAAGCAUGCCACUUGUUUGAUUUAAUAGAAACAAUAUUCGUCUCUCCGCCGCUUACCCGAGUGUCAAUAUCUCUAAUCGCUGUAGCUGCAGCUAUACAGCAUAAUAUCCGGUAAAAUACUUUUUCUCAUUCCAUCUUUAAAUUAAUUAAACGACAUCGUAUCGAGUGUUUUUGUUUGAAAUGUGUAACUUAAAAUACACGCGGUACAUUGAUUUAUGCGAUUAACGAAUUCCUAUAGCCGCGAUUGACGUUAGUCGACUUAAAUUUAUUAUAUACCCGUCCAAUAAUACACGCGUUACGUCAACAGACAAUCGCAAAUAUUUGAAAUUUUCCGAUACCCCACCCGGCGGUAGGUGAAAAUAACACUUAGACGGCUACACACGAUGAAUAGCGCAGAUGCGUUGACCCGUUUAAGAACAAAAAAUCGUUAUUUUUCUCCAUAACGCCGUGGACGGCGAUCGUACGCAGAUCGUUGUAAUACGGCGAUCCCACCUCGGCCGUUCAAUUGGUACAUAUUUAUUAAAUAUUAUAUAUACAAACACGCACCCGUGAAUAACACUCGACAUAUGGCCCUUGUACUCUAAUAAUAAUAUAUAUAACAUAUAAUAAUUAUUAUAUCGAGGACGACGACCACUGCGCUCGGCGGUCACUCACACGCCGGUCCGCGUCAUAAAUAUACGCGUAUACCGCGAUUUUCAUACCGUAACCGCGGCGGCAUCGGCAGUGGUCACCGUGGCCGUCAUGCAGCAGGAACAACCGCAGCGGCGGUGGUCCGCCGUCUCGGCGAUCGGCAUCGGCGCCAUCGCGCUGUUCCUGGCCGUCGUGUUGUUCGCCAUCGUACAGAACUACUGUUGUUCGCCGCGAAUCGACAAGGCCCUUUACCUGUCGCCGAUGAUACGCGACGGUCGGGUCCACGAGGCGCGCGCGAAAUGCAAAGUGCACCUCCACAACCGCACGGCCGAAAGUUGCGCCGGUUACCUGACCGUGGACGAGGCGCACGGUUCCAACAUGUUCUUCUGGUUCUUCCCGGCCGCCAACGGACAGCCGGACGCGCCCGUCGUGCUGUGGCUGCAGGGCGGACCGGGCGCCAGCAGCCUGUACUCGGUGUUCAACGAGCACGGCCCGUUCACGGUGAACGAGGCCGGCGAUCUGCUGCCGCACAAGCACACGUGGACGGACACGCUGUCCGUGCUGUACGUGGACAACCCGGUGGGCACGGGGUACAGCUUCACCGGCGACGAGAAGGCUACAGCACCAACCAGACGGCCGUCGCCAGGAACAUGUACGCCGCCCUGGUGCAGUUCUUUGAGCUGUACCCUGAGUACCGGCUCAACGAUUUCUACGUGACCGGCGAGUCGUACGCGGGCAAGUACGUGCCGGCCGUGUCGUACGCCAUCCACCAGAACAAUCCCGGAGCUCAGGUCAAAAUAAACCUCAAGGGACUGGCCAUCGGCAACGGACUUAUCGACCCCGUAAACCAGAUGGUGUACAGCGAAUAUUUGUCCGAGCGAGGGCUCAUCGACGAGGACGGCAAACGGUUGUUCAAAGAACAGGAGGACUUGGCCCGAGAUCGAAUCGCCUCGGGCGAUUACAGGGCCGCGUACGACGCGAUGACCAAGAUGAUGAUCACCACUCCGUCGCUGUAUCGGCAGCUGACCGGCAUGCGGAACAUCUACAACGUGGUGUGGAACAAGAACCCGAUACCUUACGAGGGCGGCCUGUGGGACCGGUACGUGCAACGUCAGGGACGAGCUGCGUUGCACGUGGGCCGGCGCCCGUGGUCGACGGUGGACGUGGUCUACGACCGUUUGAAGUACGACAUACCGCUGUCCGUGGCCCCGUGGCUCGCCGAGCUCCUGGACGCCGGCCGGUACCGCGUGCUCCUCUACUCCGGACAGUUGGACGCGAUCGUGCCGUAUCGCGGCACGGUGAACGUGGCCAGGGCGCUCCGGUGGACAGGAGCCGAGCAGUUUAGGAACGCGACGCGAUCCAUCUGGAGGCCCGACUGUUCUCCACAGUGCUCCGUCUCCGAAGUGGCCGGCUACGUGACCGCGUACGGCCCGCUCACCGUGCUGUUGGUCAGGAACGCCGGUCACAUGGUACCGUACGACCAACCUGCUUGGGCCCUCGACAUGAUCGACCGAUUUACAUCUGGCAAACCGUUUCAUUGAAACUCCGCAGGCCCGUGACGCAUCCCCUUCCUACCAUAAAAUCAAACAAACAGUUACAAUAUUAUAUAGCUGUAGUAUCGAAUUUAUACUUAUAUCCAAAUAGUCAUUAAUCGUAACUAUUGUUUUAUGGAUGUUUGACAAUUUUUUUUUUGAAAAUUUGUUUAUAAAUGCUAUUCUUAAUUUAAGAUUUGCUGUAGUUUAAGAUUUUCGUUGAGGCGAGACUGGCGCUCUCAAAAGUUCGCGAUUGUACAGUUAUAAUCUAUAUAUAUAUAGCCAUUACUGGUGAAGAUUUGGGCCGUCAUCUAACAGUAUGCAAGACUUUUGUGCGUGAUAAACUUCUUUCGCUAUUUCCAGAAUAUAUUAUAACAAAAUAUAAAUCUAAGUUUGUAUAAUAAUAUAAAUAUAUUAUAAAUUUAAUGUAACCAUGUAGGAGGAUCAUAUCACAUUCUCAAAAUUGUGUAAUGACAACAUAGUGCAUUAAAAAACUUUUUUAUACACUUAUUGUGUAUUCAAUUAACAUAUUUCACAUGCUGUAAACAUUUAUGUAUUAUUAUUACCAUUUAUUGUAUAAUGUUAUAUUACAGUACCUGUAAAAAAUGCGUAAGUUAUACCUAUUUAUGUAUCAGA